GGGCCCGUGGUCUAGUCGGUUAUGACGUCGCCCUUACACGGCGAAGAUCGCCGGUUCGAAUCCGGCCGAGCCCA
rnacentral:tRNA from 1 species